rnacentral:rRNA from 1 species
CCUACGGGUGGCUGCAGUAGGGAAUAUUGGGCAAUGGGGGCAACCCUGACCCAGCCAUGCCGCGUGCAGGAAGAAGGCCCUCUGGGUUGUAAACUGCUUUUGGGAGGGGACAAAAUACGGGUGCGCCCGGGAUUGAGUGUACCUCCAGAAUAAGCACCGGCUAACUCCGUGCCAGCAGCCGCGGUAAUACGGAGGGUGCGAGCGUUGUCCGGAUUUAUUGGGUUUAAAGGGUGCGUAGGCGGCCCGUUAAGUCUUCGGUGAAACCCCUGGGCUCA